rnacentral:misc_RNA from 1 species
AGAAUUAGCCAAGGAAAUUGGAGAAGACAAGGCUGAACUCGAGGCAUUGAAGAGAGAAUCACAUUCACUCAGGGAGGAAGUAGAUGAAGAAAGAAAGAUGUUGCAGAUGGCUGAGGUUUGGCGUGAGGAACGGGUUCAGAUGAAACUAGUUGAUGCUAAGGUGACACUCGAAGAGAAGUAUUCCCAAAUGAAUAGACUAAUUGCAGAGUUAGAGUCUUUCCUAAGUUCUAGAGGUAUGAACCCCGACGAGGAAGUGAUCGAAAGAGCUGAGCAACUCAAACAGGAAGCUGCUUCGGUGAAUAUUCGUGAUAUCAGUGAGUUCACUUAUGAACC